CUGCGCUAAUACCGCAUACGCCCUGAGGGGGAAAGCGGGGGACCGGUAAGGCCUCGCGCGAUUAGAGCGGCCGAUAUCUGAUUAGCUUGUUGGUGGGGUAAAAGCCCACCAAGGCGACGAUCAGUAGCUGGUCUGAGAGGACGAUCAGCCACACUGGGACUGAGACACGGCCCAGACUCCUACGGGAGGCAGCAGUGUGGAAUUUUUGGACAAUGGGGGAAACCCUGAUCCAGCAAUGCCGCGUGAGUGAAGAAGGCCUUCGGGUUGUAAAGCUCUUUUGUCAGGGAAGAAACACCGGCUCUAACACAGUCCGGGAAUGACGGUACCUGAAGAAUAAGCACCGGCUAACUACGUG
rnacentral:rRNA from 1 species